ACUCUUCCAUUCGCUCCAGACUUGGGGAAGCAGCUAGAGCAAGCCAGAAACCUCAUCCUCACGCAAAAGAAGAACAAGACGACCAGACUCCGACCCAGCGCCCGCAUCCGAGCCCGACUUGGACAGCCGGGACUCGCCUUCGCAGCGGAGUCGCAGCCGACGACGCCUCGAUUCGAUGAUUCUGAGGACAGCGACGAUGGAAGGCGGAGGAAGAGAACGUCUUCGAAGGUUUUUAGGAUUCAAUUGCUUCUUUUUUUUCCCCUGCUUCUUUUUUAUUGUUUGAUUUUUAGGUGAAGUUUGGUGCUUUUUUUAGGCACUUUAUUAAAGUCGCGAAGAAAUUGAAGGCGGGUGUCUGGUUAUUCGAACGAUUCCAACCCCUUUGGCGAUUCUAAUCUCAACGAGAAAUUUGUAUGGCAAAAGAAGAUUGAGAAGGAAAUUCUCAAGGUGUGCCACUUGACUUGUAUUCAAUGAAAGCUGAGAAGAAGAAGCAAAGAGAAAGGAUGGCAGUGUUCGGCGACUUGCUACUGCAAAGUGUUCCAAACAAAUCAAUAUGCAUCUCACUCUAGGUAGCCCUAGCCCACAUUUCAAUUGGUUUGAGGUCUCAACGGAUGAGAGAGUUAAUAGCUUCUCAGUCAACCCUUUGGCAACACCCUGGAAAGGUGGUACAAAACUCAGGACAAGUUCUGUAACCAUCAGUGGAUAGCAUCUACCGAUGACUUACAAUGUUAGAAUAAGGGUACUAGGGAAGAGCUGCGAAAGAUCCGGAGCCGGGACGGUGCCGGAGGACUGAUGGCAAGAAGUGGCGCUGCUCAAGGGAUGUGGUGGCUGGCCAAAAGUAUUGCAAGCGCCACGUGCACCGUGGCCGCAGCCGUUCAAGACAGCCUGGAGAGAUCUCCAAACCCUCCAUUCCUGGUGGCGGCAGUGGUGGUGGUGUCCUCAACCCGACCCUUCUUGCUUCCCAAUUGGUCUCCGGACCCUACUCCCCGUUCCAUUGAUGUCCUCUAUCUCAAUCAAAGGUUUGGGUACUGAUAUCUCCUUGCUAGGGCCCCAUUUUAAAGUCAGGCCAAGCUAUUUGGGAUUUGGUAUGAGAGCAUCUGAACUGAAGUGAUGCUUUCAAGGACCCUGUGAACUUGGAAUCCUUGUCUUCUGUGUGUUUACCAUGCAUUCCUGUUUGGCUUGUUGCAUAAGCUGUUAACAUUCUCAGAUGUUAACUGCGGCUAGCAUUUUAGCUAACCACUGUGGGCCACCCGGUAUACUCUAUAUUUACGUUGCAACGCAUAUUUGAUAUUUGCAUUGCAACAAAACAGACAUUGAGACUGCAUUUAAAAUUCAAGGCCGUUGCACGGUUUCUUUCAAAAGGUGUUGAACCCGCAACCUUUGGAUUCAUUCCAUGGUUAGGAAUAGGAAAAAAAUUCCCAAAAAUCAUUGCCAAACUUAUAUUGAUGCAUGUCUUCCAGAAAAUGGAUAAGAGACCUCUUUUGUUAACACUAGAUUCAAGCAACAGUGCAACUCUCAAACAUCACUAACAUUUGAUUCCCAAGUGUGUACUAAGAUGUUGCUACAGGGGACUACUGAGCUAGUGUAUAUAUCCUGUCACCUUGUUCCUUUAUUUGAUUUCACAAAAUCAUCAAUGUCUCAAACUUAUGAAUUUUGAUCUCCCAGUGCACAAAACAAAAAGGACAAGUGCAGCAAAGAGUAAGAAAACCUAAUUGGAGUAAGGAUGAAGAUGAAGCACUCUGUAAAGCAUGGUUAAGUAUCUCAGAAGAUCCAGCUACUUUGACGGAUGAUCAACUGAGAACAAAGUUUUGGGAUCGAAUUUUGGCCGAGUUCAAUACCGUCUUGGGUUGGGAGACAGAAAGAUAUAGCUCAGGUUUGAUGAACCGCUGGUCGGUCAUCCAAUCCCGCGUUAACAAAUACUCUGAUUGUGUGUGCGCAAUAGAGAGGAAUCGGACCAGCCGCUAUAAUGUUGAAGAAUCGAUAGGGGCUGCAAACCAGUCGUAUUAUAAUUCAGAAGGCCACCACUUUAAGUGGGAUGGUUGUUGGUUACUCCUCAAAGACUCCCCAAAGUGGCUUAACUACAGAGGGAAACAAGUAUCGAAAAAACAGAAAACUGCACACACGAACGUAGAAGGUUUCAAUGUGGAUCUUCAUCAAACAAUAGAUUCCUCUACUCCAGCGACUACACCAAGUUCGAAUGCAGGAUCAGGAAGCCUCGACGAUGAGAAUUCACCAUUUGUCAAAGAAUCACAUGAACUACCACAACCCUCUGGACGAAACCGGCAGAGAACAUUCGCCGAAAGAAGAAUGUCAACGAGUUAGAUGCCAUAAAAUCAUUCGUUACAGAAUUUCGCAACUGGAGCUAGAGUGAAAAUUCAAGAGAUCACGAUGUUGAAUAAACGAGAAGAACUGAAAAUUCAAGCCAAACUGGAGCUAGAGUGAAUGCAGAUCACAGUUACACCGGAUUAUGAACAAAUGAAAUUGGAGCGAGAGAGAUUAUGAUGACUGAUCCGAAUUUGGUUCCUACUGAAGACGGAAAAGCUUGGAUCAUUGCAAAGCAAAAGGCAAUUUUGGCGUGUACUUUACAAGGUGCCUUGAGUGGCAGUGGGAUUUAAACUGGUAUGGUGUAGUAGAUUGGUAGCAUUUGUACUUCCUUCAAUAUCUGUGGUAGUAUCUCUGUAAUCAGAUCCUCCAGGAAAGAGAAAACAAGAAACCCAAUCAAUGGUCCAGAACUCUUCCCUAGAAUACCAAAACUCUUCCCGGGAAGAGUUACUUUAAAUCUGGACUGUUGAUUAGGGUUACUGGACUUAGUGUCCUGGUUCAUAUCAUAUCUAGGCAAUUGGGCACUUUUUACUCUUUCUGUGAUGUUCAUGUUCAGCUUUUUUAUUGAUGGUAGGAGUAAUUUCUACUGUA